UACGUAGGGUGCAAGCGUUAUCCGGAAUUAUUGGGCGUAAAGAGCUCGUAGGCGGCUUGUCGCGUCGGAUGUGAAAGCCCGGGGCUUAACUCCGGGUCUGCAUUCGAUACGGGCAGGCUAGAGUUCGGUAGGGGAGAUCGGAAUUCCUGGUGUAGCGGUGAAAUGCGCAGAUAUCAGGAGGAACACCGGUGGCGAAGGCGGAUCUCUGGGCCGAUACUGACGCUGAGGAGCGAAAGCGUGGGGAGCGAACAGG
rnacentral:rRNA from 1 species